GCUAGGAGGAAGCAGCAGCCGCGGGCUGAGACAGCACUGUUGCGCUGCCCGGACACAAGGAAGCGAUGUCCAAAGUAGCGCCCAACCAAUAAUAACACAGCCCAACUUCGAGAGCGCGGUUCCCGGGGCGGUUCUGGAGCGGUUCGGCGGCUCGGACGGGAUGGCGGGUCUGGCGAACGAGCGGAGAGCGUUCGCCCAUAAGAUAAACAGGACGGUAGCUGCGGAGGUCAGGAAGCAGGUCUCUCGGGAGUAUGGCUCUCCACAGCUGUCCAAAAAGCGAGGCGUAGCCAAUCAGCAGGUGCCCCUGACGGAGGUGGUGGAGCCGGUGGAUUAUGAGGAAUAUGUGAGUAGCCACGCCCCCAGCCCUGAGCCUGGACCUCUCAGACAGCUGAUGGAGUUCCCUAAUGAUGAUCUGGAGCUCCUCCUGCAGGAGAGGGAGUGUACUACACUGGAGCCUGCCCUGCCGGAGGAAGACACGCUGGAUCCCAGAGUCCGAGAUGCGCUGGGGGCGUACACAGACGACUGGCUCAUCAUUCAGAGGAAGUAUCAGCGCUACAGCACCAUGCAGACUCCUCACAACACCGAGCGACAGCGCGAGAAACAGAGAGGCCUGAUCAAGCAGACCUUCGAACUGGACGAAGCUGCUGCUGCUGAACGACAGGAGGAUCAGGAUGACUCUAAGAGGAGGUCGGUGUCUCUGGACGACACGCCGCGGGGAAGCUGGGCCUCCAGUAUCUUCGAUCUGAAGAACUCGUCUCCGGACGCUCUGCUCCCGUCUCUGCUGGAGCGCACGGCUGCGGAGGACAUGGACCGCCGCAAUACAGAGAACCGCCAGCAGGGGCGCCACCCGGACCUGCUGGGGCUUUACCCCGCACCAGACGAGGAUGAGGCCGUGGAGAGGUGCUCAGUCCCAGAGGUGCCCAGAGAACACACAGGACAGAGAAUCAUGGUCAAAUGUCUUUCCCUAAAGUUUGAAAUUGAGAUUGAGCCGAUAUUUGGGACGCUGGCGCUGUAUGACGUGAAGGAGAAGAAGAAGAUCUCAGAGAACUUCCACUUUGACCUGAACUCAGAUCAGACGAAGGGCCUGCUGCGCCCCCACACCCCCCACACGGCCAUCUCCACCCUCACCCGCUCCGCCAUCUUCUCCAUCACCUACCCCUCUCCCGACAUCUUCCUGGUCAUCAAGCUGGAGAAAGUGCUGCAGCAGGGGGAUAUCGGGGAGUGCUGUGAGCCGUAUAUGGUUAUGAAGGAGUCUGACUCUACUAAGCAUAAGGAGAAGCUGGAGAAGCUGAAGGCCCAGGCGGAGCAGUACUGCAGCAGGCUGGGUCGGUUCCGAAUGCCCUUCGCCUGGACGGCCAUCCACCUCCUCAACAUCGUCAGCAGUGUCGGGGGCCUGGAGCGCUCCGACUCCGAUUCAGACACAGAGCGUAAGGGGACGUGGAACGAGAGGAAGAAGAAGGGAUUUGAGAGGAUGAGUGUGGGGGAAGACAUGUGCAACUUUACCAACUUCCGCCCGGCUACGCUCACAGUCACCAACUUCUUCAAACAGGAGGGGGACCGGCUGAGUGAUGAGGAUCUGUAUAAGUUUCUAGCUGAUAUGAGGAGACCGUCCUCCGUCCUGCGCCGCCUCAGACCUGUUACAGCUCAGUUAAAGAUAGAUAUCUCUCCGGCUCCUGAAGCUCCUCACUACUGUCUUUCUCCUGAGCUCCUCCACGUUAAACCCUACCCCGACCUGCGGGUCCGUCCCACCAAGGAGGUGCUGGAGUUCCCCGCCCGCUACGUUUACACCCCCCACACCACCUACAGGAACUUGCUGUACAUCUAUCCUCAGAGUCUGAACUUCAGCAGCAGGCAGGGCUCUGUACGCAACAUCGCCGUCAAGAUGCAGUUCAUGGCAGGAGAAGACCCCAGCCAAGCCAUGCCCGUGAUCUUCGGGAAGUCCAGCUGUGCUGAGUUCUAUAAGGAGGCGUAUACCCCGGUCAUCUACCACGAUAAGUCUCCAGAGUUCUAUGAGGAGGUAAAGAUGAAGAUUCCUGCUAACCUGACCGACAACCACCACCUGCUCUUCACCUUCUACCACAUCAGCUGCCAACCCAAACAGAACACGCCGCUGGAGACGCCCGUCGGCUACACUUGGAUUCCUCUGAUGCAGCACGGCCGACUGCGCACCGGCUCCUUCAGCCUCCCCGUAUCAGUGGAGAAACCUCCACCCAGCUACUCCGUGCUCACACCCGACGUGCAGCUGCCCGGAAUGAAGUGGGUGGAUAAUCAUAAAGGUGUGUUUAAUGUGGAAGUGACGGCCGCCUCCUCCGUUCACACUCAGGACCCUCACCUGGAUAAAUUCUUUACUCUGGUGUACGUGCUGGAAGAGUACUCCUUCCCGUUCCGGCUGAAGGACGGGAUAAUCACCGAGGGGAACGUGGAGGCGGAGCUAAAGGGCAGCAUGGCGGCUCUGAAGGGGGCGCUGUUGGAUACCUGCGUUCGCUUCCUGCACCAGCUGCUCAACAAGCUCAUCCUCCUCAUCGUCCAUCCUCCUGUAAUCGCAGGACAGAUCGUGAAUCUGGGCCGGGCUGCGUUCGAGGCGAUGGCUCUCCUGGUGAAUCAGAUCCAUAAGAACCUGGAGGGGAACCUGGAUCAGCACGGCCGCAACAGCCUCCUGUCCUCCUACAUCCACUACUGCUUCCACCUGCCCACCACCGAGCCUGCAGCGCCCCCUACUGUGGGCGGAGCUACCUACGAGCUUCCUAUCCAGUACGCCACGUUAUCCCGAGCGACGGCCCGUCCCAGCAGUCUGCACCUGUCCCGCUCCAAGAGCAUCAGCAACUCCAACCCGGACCUCGCCUCCACCCCCGCCUCACCUGACGAGGAGGUGCAGAGGAUCAUCGGCAGCAAGGGUAUAGAUCGCUCCCACUCCUGGGUAAAUUCUGCUUACGCUCCCGGCGGCUCCAGAUCCGUACUCCGCCGGAACCCCAACUCCAGCUGUGAGCUCAAGCAGCUGGCCAAUGAUCGGAGUGCUAACCGCAUGUCAGCCUUCAUCGAGACCGCCUCCUUCCUCUCUCCACCAACCAGACACAUCGCCAGGAAGCUGCUGCAUGAGGAGCUGGCGCUGCAGUGGGUGGUGAGCACCAGUACGGUGAGGGAGGCGGCGCUGCAGCAGGCCUGGUUCUUCUUCCAGCUGAUGGUGAAGAGCAUGGCCCACCACCUGUUCCUCACCUCCCGACUGGACGUCCCGAGGCGGCAGCGGUUCCCCGACCGGUUCGUGGACGAUAUCGCCGCUCUGGUCUGCGCCAUCAGCGCAGACAUCGCCAGCAGAUACCAAAAGGAUGUGGAGCUGGUGGAGAGAUUGAACAGCAGUUUGGCGUUUUUCCUGAAUGAUCUGUUGUCUCUGAUGGACCGAGGCUUUGUGUUUAACCUCGUCCGCACCUAUUAUAAACAGAUCUCCAAUAAGCUGCACACGGCUCAGAACCCCAGCUCUCUGACGGCGCUGAGGAUGGACUUUAUCCGGAUCGUCUGCAGCCAUGAGCACUACGUCACCCUCAACCUGCCCUGCUCCACCCUCAGCCCCCCCGCCUCCCCCUCACCCUCCACCUCCUCCACCACCUCUCAGAGUUCUGCGUUCUCCUGUCUGAUGCAGGAUCAGGGUGUGGUCAGCAUGUUCGAGCUCUCCGUUCCUUUCCGUCAGCAGCACUUCCUGUCCGGCCUUCUGCUCUCAGAGCUCGCCCUCAUCCUGGAGCCUGACGGAGAGGGGGUGUUCUUCCUGCAUAAGAAGGCAAUCAGUGCGGUUCACUCGCUGCUCUGCAGUCACGACUCGGACCCGCGCUACACCGACCCGCAGGUCCGCGCCCACAUCGCCCAGCUCUACCUGCCCCUCGUACCCGUCGUCAUGGAGACGCUCGCACAACUGCACGACUUUACAGACUCCUCCCCCCAGCGGGUAAGACACGCCUCUGCGCUCAUCGACGACAGCGACCCAGACGGCAACACCAUCAACCCGUCUGUUGCCAUGGCGAUAGCCGGCUCACCGCUGCCCCAUUCCAAAGCCAGCCCGUUCGCCCUGCCGUCUGUGGCGGGGCGUCAGGGCGGGGCUCUGUCGGCGGAGUGCAGCAGGACGUUGCUGGUUUGUGUCCUGUGGGUCCUGAAGAACGCUGACGCGGCGCUGCUGGAACACUGGCUCUCUGAACUCUCCGUCCUGCACAUCAACCGCCUGCUGGACCUGCUGCACCUCACCGUCUCCUGCUUCGAGUACAAGGGGAAGAAGGCUCUGGAGAGGAUCAACAGUCUGACCUUUAAGAAAUCUCAGGAUAUGAAAGCCCGUCUGGAGGAGGCCAUACUCGGCACCAUCGGAGCCCGGCAGGAGAUGGUCCGCCGCUGCAGAGAGAGGAGUCCGUAUGGGAGUCAGGAGAAUGUGAGAUGGAGGAAGAACGUCACUCACUGGAGACAGAACACCGACCGAGUCGACAAGACGAAGGCGGAGGUGGAGCAGGAGUCGGUGGUGGAUGGAAACUUGGCGACUGAAGCCUCUUUAAUAGUGCUGGAUACUCUGGAAAUCAUCGUUAAAAUGGUGGUUCUGUCGGAGCUGAAGGAGAGUGUUCUGGGUGGGGUUCUGAGAGUUCUGCUCCACAGCAUGGCGGGAAACCAGAGCGCCCUCUUUCUGCAGCACUGCUUCACUACACAGAGAGCUCUGGUCUUUAAGUUCCCGGAGAUGCUGUUUGAGGAGGAUACGGAGCUGUGUGCGGAUCUGUGUUUGCGGUUACUGCGGCACUGCAGCAGCAGCGUGGGUUCGGUUCGCAGCCAAGCCAGCGCCUCCCUCUACCUCCUCAUGAGACAGAACUACGAGAUCGGCAACAACUUUGCCCGGGUGAAGAUGCAGGUGACCAUGUCCCUGUCCUCACUGGUCGGCACGUCCCAGAACUUUAAUGAGGAACACCUGCGCCGCUCCCUGAAGACCAUCCUCACCUACGCUGAAGAAGACCUGGAGCUCCGGGACUCGCCCUUCCCAGAGCAGGUUCAGGACCUGGUAUUUAACCUGCACAUGAUCCUCACAGACACUGUGAAGAUGAAGGAGCAUCAGCAGGACCCCGAGAUGCUGCUGGACCUGAUGUACAGAAUUGCUAAAGGCUAUCAGAACUCUCCGGACCUGCGUCUGACGUGGUUGCAGAACAUGGCGGGGAAGCACUCUGAGAGGGGGAACCACGCCGAGGCGGCGCACUGCCUCGUCCACAGCGCCGCCCUGGUGGCUGAGUACCUCAACAUGCUGGAGGACUGUCGCUAUCUCCCUAUUGGCUGCGUCUCCUUCCAGAGCAUCUCCUCUAACGUUCUGGAGGAGUCGGCAGUGUCUGAUGAUAUUCUGUCCCCGGAGGAGGAGGGAAUCUGUGCAGGGAAGUACUUCAGCGAGGCCGGGCUGGUGGGGCUGCUGGAACAGGCAGCAGCUUCUUUUAACAUGGCGGCGAUGUAUGAAGCGAUAAACGAGGUGUAUAAGAUCCUCUGCCCGAUUCACGAGGCCAACCGAGACUUUAAGAAGCUGGCGUCCGUCCACGGCAAACUGCAGGACGCCUUCAACAAGGUCUACAACCAGAGCUCGGGAUGGGAGAGGAUGUUCGGGACGUACUUUCGCGUGGGGUUUUACGGCUGUCGCUUCGGGGAUCUGGACGAGCAGGAGUUUGUGUAUAAGGAGCCGUCCAUCACCAAGCUGGCUGAGAUAUCACACAGACUGGAGGAGUUUUACUCAGAGCGGUUUGGAGACGAUGUGGUGGAGAUCAUCAAAGACUCCAGCCCUGUGGACAAGAACAAGCUGGACCCCAACAAGGCGUAUCUCCAGAUCACCUACGUGGAGCCGUUUUUCGACACCUACGAGCUGAAGGAGCGAAUCACGUACUUCGAUAAGAACUACAACCUGCGCACCUUCAUGUACUGCACGCCGUUCACACUCGACGGCCGAGCGCACGGGGAUCUGCACGAGCAGUACAAGCGCAAGACCAUCCUCACCACCUCGCACGCCUUCCCCUACAUCAAAACCCGCAUCAACGUCAUCCAGAAGGAGGAGAUCAUCCUGGUUCCGAUAGAGGUGGCGAUUGAGGACAUGCAGAAGAAAACUCAUGAGCUGGGUAUCGCCACCCACCAGGACCCUGCAGACUCCAAGAUGCUGCAGAUGGUGCUGCAGGGCUGUGUGGGAACCACUGUUAACCAGGGUCCUCUGGAGGUGGCCCAGGUCUUCCUGUCAGAAAUUCCAGACGAUCCGAAGCUCUUCCGGCAUCACAAUAAACUCCGCCUCUGCUUUAAGGAUUUUACUAAGAGGUGUGAGGAUGCUCUGAGGAAGAAUAAAGCUCUGAUUGGUCCGGAUCAGAAGGAGUAUCAUCGGGAGCUGGAGAGGAAUUACCAUAAACUGAAGGAAGCUCUGUUCCCCCUGAUCAACCGCAAGAUCCCCCAGCUCUACAGCACACUACACACACUGCCCCCUACAGCUACUCACAGGUAACUCACACACUACACACACUGCCCCCUACAGCUACUCACAGGUAACUCACACACUACACACACUGCCCCCUACAGCUACUCACAGGUAACUCACACACUACUCACACUGCCCCCUACAGCUACUUACAGGUAACUCACACACUACACACACUGCCCCCUACAGCUACUCACAGGUAACUCACACACUACACACACUGCCCCUACAGCUACUCACAGGUAACUCACACACUACACACACUGCCCCCUACAGCUACUCACAGGUAACUCACACACUACACACACUGCCCCUACAGCUACUUACAGGUAACACACACACUACACACACUGCCCCUACAGCUACUCACAGGUAACACACACACUGCACACUACACACACUGCCCCCUACAGCUACUCACAGGAAUUCUCUUAGCAGGUCCAGCUUUCGCCGGGCCGACUGCUGAGGAGUGUUUAAGAGUCCUGGAACCUGUCACAGGACCCGGCACAGAACCUGGCACGGACCCUGGACCCGGCACAGAACCCGGCAUAGAACCUAGCACGAACCUUUUACCCAGGCGCCAAGCUGCCUUCUUCUUACUCUACGCCCAAGAUGGUCUUUUCUGGGCCUGCUACUUCUCGUCCUCCUCCACCAUCCAUCCAUCCGUCCUUCUCUCUCUCUCUGUCUCUCUCUCUCUCUCUCUCUCGCUCUGUUUAUUCUGAAGGGUUAUCUGUAUAAACACAGUCUUGCUGACUGCUGGUCUCCUGAGGCAGGGCAGCGAUGGGCAGCGCUCUCUCUCCGGUCGCUCAGACUGGAGGUAAUUUUAGGUUUCGCUCGACGUGGGAACGCAAAUAGUCCACGGCACUUCCUGCUUUUGUGUGUUUGUGUGUGUGUGAUGGAGUGAGAGAGGGAGGGUGUGGUGAAGCUAAAAAGAAAGAAAGAAAGAAAAAGAGAGACUGUAUACUGUGUGUGUUUAAUCUUGCCUUUCAGAACCAUCCCAGAGAUAACAUGCUGCCCAUGUUGGGGGGCGGGGCCUAUAUGUGUGGCUCCAUAUUGGUCCAACAUAUGGACAGAUUCCAACCAGUCAAAGGUUUGGACAGCUUAAAUUUAGUGUUUUUUAUCAUUUAAAGGUUUUCUUUAAUGUAGAUUAAUACUAAAAUCGUACAAAAAAAUAUGAAUAAAAAUAUAUUGAAUUAUUUAGCAAACAAGAAAAAAAGUGUUAAACAAACCAGAAUAUCUAUUUUAAUAUUUUUGAUUCUCAGUCAGUUUUAUGAGGUAGAGUCACCUGGAAUUCAGGCUUUCAGUUAACAGCUGUGCUGAACUCAUCAAGAGUUAAUUACUUGAAUUUCUUGCCUCUUAAUGUUAGCUUGAGAGCAUCAGUUAAAGUAAAGUAGUGAAGAGGUAGAAUUCCUAAUCCAUAUUAUGCAUAUAAGCAAGAACUACUCAACUAAAGCUCUAUCUUUAGGAUUAGUUUCUCAGGGGGUUCUGGGUAAUUUUCUCUUUUAUGGGUUUUUUUUAUCCUCUGUGAUUUUAUUCCCGUCCAGAACUAUCAUGUAGGUGUUUUUCUCAGACGUCCUCUGAGUAAAUUACAGGCUGAAUUAUCUACUGUUUUUCUCUGAACUCCGUGCUCCUCCGGUAAUUUUAGUCCUGUCCGGACGCACAUCUCUGAGUUUCGUCUUCUCACCUUUAAUAAAAUAGAUAUUUGUCCACUGCCGCUCACCGUAAUUACACUUUGGGUGCGCCACGGUUUCCACAGAGAUCCACGUAAAAAAAACACAACAGCGAGUGGAAAUGGAGGAGCUACUGAACACCGCAAUGUCAUGUGACCGAGAAGAAAGCAGAGAGAAAACUCACUGGUCAUCCUGUUUUUUCAAUUGCAGUCCGGAUGCAGGAGUUUUAUCACAAGAAGUGAGUAGAAGUGUGAAAUAGUUUUUAUUUUUGACUGACGUCCCCCUGAGAAAACAAUCCUGUGCAGAUAGGGCUUAAGUAAUGAAAAUAAAACUUUAAGAAAAAACAAGCAUCAAAACAAGACCAUCAAAAACGUUAUAUAUAAUAAUAAUGAUGAAACUGGCGCUCAUCUGGACCACCCCAGGAAAGGAACAGGAUAACUGCAUCAGUUACCAGCCUCCAAAAAGGCUCCCCAGAUAAAAGCUGACAAUAGUAUUUUGGUUUGUUUAACACUUUUAAACUUUUAAGCUACUACAUGAUUUCUUACGUAAAAACUUAAAUUAAAUAAAAUGAUGAGUCCAAAUUUUUGACUGGUGCUGUAGAACCCAUCCACGUGUGAUCCCCUCGUUAGCAUGCUAUGCUAUGUUAUGCUAGUCGGGCUGUAGUGUUGAGUACUCCAACACUCGUUGGUUCUAAACUCACCGAAUCCUCCUCACUGCGACUCUGAGCCCGGCCCAGAAGACCCGACCAAAGAUCGUGUGUGUUCUGCUACAACGUCCAAAAAGAUUUGUACGCUUACGAAGUAUUUACACGCAUUAAUUUCCCCCGUCAGCUCAGGGAGUGUCUAUCUGAUAACUACUGAACUACUGAAGACCUGAAGAAGCUCUACUCCCACAUUCCUCACCAGCUCGGCUCGAACCGGCGUCACGACAUUCCCACACUUAUCACAAAUCACUAAUCACUGGACCCGCCCACCUGGCGGCGACGAGCCUUAACCAGAGAGCACCUCAGGACGUACGGACGGUUAAAACCAAUGACUGUAGAAACAUAGAAACAUGGAAGCUGUGGUUGCAUUACCUUUUUGUUCUAUAUAAUAGAAAUUAUGCCAAAAUUAGCACAUUUGCAACCAGAGACAAGUAGUGCAAUUGUGUCGAGAGGCGGAGUCAAACGCGCCUACUUGUUUAAUAGACCUUCCCCCAGAUGGGCGGCGCUACACAUUGUACUGCAACCAACCAACCAAUAGAGGCACUAUAGAUACCAUAGUCAAAUUUGCAACCACAGGACCACAGUAGCCCAGUAAAAACCAAGGAUUCGUGUGUCUCAGGCUGCCUUCAUUGAGUUUACAGUGCAGCUCAAAGCACCUUGUUGUAUAUUAAAAGUCUACCAAUUUUUGUGUUUUUUAAGCGUAAUUAAUGUUCCAAGAGUCAAAAAGGGAAACGCACACUGUUAAAAGAUAAUUGAAAGAAGAUAAAUUUAUUUAUAAGAUUUAAUUUAUUUAAAACAUUAUUUGGACUCAAUCCCAAUGUGACGAGAACGCUACCCGAGACCGAGUACUAACACUAUAGCUACAGCAAUGCUACUAGUUCAGCAAGGCUAACUACGCUAACGGUAGCUAGUUCACACUGGACAUUUUACGCUAAGCUUAUAGUUAUUUUAUUACCUAAUUCCUAAGUGUAGCCCCGCCUUCUCACGAUAUACUGUAGCAGAAUACGGUUUAAAACUUAUUUCUGUCUGGAAAUAAAAAUGUGGUAGUAUUAGCACAGGGAAAGCUAGACACUGAAGAAUCUUUAAAAAAUGGGCGGGGCUGUUUUGGCACUGAAACCUAUGGGAACCUAAGGAAUGGGUGGAGCUACAGUACCUGUAAUACUGCAACCGGCCAGCAGAGGCGCUAGACCUGUGGUGGUUUUAAUUUUGAGAGACAUUGCAGUCUGUCCAUGCUUUUCUACAGUCACUGGUUAAACCGAAUCAGGGUAGUAUCAGCACCGACACCAAACACUCCGUCACACCACCCGUCACACCACUGCACCACCACCCGUCACACUGCACCAACCAGUCACACCACACCACCCUGUCACAACACACCACUCAUCAUGCACCACCUCAUCAUGCAACACCUCGGAAUGCACCACCCGUCAUGCACCACCUCGUCAUGCACCACCUCGUCAUGCACCACCCGUCAUGCACCACCUCGUCAUGCACCACCUCGUAAUGCACCACCUCAUCAUGCAACACCUCGGAAUGCACCACCCGUCAUGCACCACCCGUCAUGCACCACCUCGUAAUGCACCACCUGUCAUGCACCACCUCGUAAUGCGCCACCCGUCAUGCCACACCACCUCGUCAUGCACCACCUCGUCAUGCACCACCUCGUAAUGCACCACCUCGUCAUGCACCACCCAUCAUGCACCACCUCGUAAUGCACCACCCGUCAUGCACCACCUCGUAAUGCGCCACCCGUCAUGCCACACCACCUCGUAAUGCACCACCUCGUAAUGCACCACCUCGUAAUGCACCACCUCGUCAUGCACCACCCGUCAUGCCACACCACCUCGUAAUGCACCACCUCGUAAUGCACCACCCGUCAUGCCACACCACCUCGUCAUGCACCACCUCGUCAUGCACCACCCGUCAUGCACCACCUCGUAAUGCGCCACCCGUCAUGCCACACCACCUCGUCAUGCCACACCACCUCGUAAUGCACCACCUCGUCAUGCACCACCUCAUAAUGCUCCACCCGUCAAAUUACCCAGUCACACACCACCCGUCACACACCACCACCCGUCCCGCCGCUGCACUGUAGGAGCUCCACACUGCCGCUGAUUGGUAAUUCUGCACUGGAACACAGGUGAAUGUGUUUUAAUUAGAAAUGCACUAAGAAUUGUAAUGUAGCUUUUAUUUAGUCUCUUCUAUAGUGAAGCAUUUAUAUCGUAUAACUGGAGACACGAGGGUCAUGUGACCCCGGUGAACUAAUUACAGGGUGACCCUGUCCUAAUAUUACUACUGCUAGUCCCUCUUUAUACUCACAGUACUACUACUAUACUCUACUGGACACUUGCACAUGUUUAUGUCGUAUGUGAUCUACUGUUUCUCUCCAAACACUGACCCAAAACUGGACUGCCCAACAUUUUUUAUUUAUUUGUGUAUAUUUCUUUUUUACUGUUUGUAUUAAACUCAGUUCUUAAUCUUUA